UUGGUGACUAUCCCGCCGAGUACAAUCCCAAAGUGCAUGGACCUUACGAUCCGGCCCGUUUUUAUGGCA
rnacentral:lncRNA from 14 species